GACGAACGCUGGCGGCGUGCUUAACACAUGCAAGUCGAACGGAAAGGCCCUGCUUUUGUGGGGUGCUCGAGUGGCGAACGGGUGAGUAACACGUGAGUAACCUGCCCUUGACUUUGGGAUAACUUCAGGAAACUGGGGCUAAUACCGGAUAGGAGCUCCUGCUGCAUGGUGGGGGUUGGAAAGUUUCGGCGGUUGGGGAUGGACUCGCGGCUUAUCCGCUUGUUGGUGGGGUAGUGGCUUACCAAGGCUUUGACGGGUAGCCGGCCUGAGAGGGUGACCGGCCACAUUGGGACUGAGAUACGGCCCAGACUCCUACGGGAGGCAGCAGUGGGGAAUAUUGCACAAUGGGCGGAAGCCUGAUGCAGCAACGCCGCGUGCGGGAUGACGUCCUUCGGGUGGUAAACCGCUUUCGCCUGUGACGAAGCGUGAGUGACGGUAAUGGGUAAAGAAGCACCGGCUAACUACGUG
rnacentral:rRNA from 1 species